rnacentral:rRNA from 1 species
GACGAACGCUGGCGGCGUGCUUAACACAUGCAAGUCGAACGGAAAGGCCCUGCUUUUGUGGGGUGCUCGAGUGGCGAACGGGUGAGUAACACGUGAGUAACCUGCCCUUGACUUUGGGAUAACUUCAGGAAAAUGGGGCUCAUACCGGAUAGGAGCUCCUGCUGCAUGGUGGGGGUUGGAAAGUUUCGGCGGUUGGGGAUGGACUCGCGGCUUAUCAGCUUGUUGGUGGGGUAGUGGCUUACCAAGGCUUUGACGGGUAGCCGGCCUGAGAGGGUGAACGGCCACAUUGGGACUGAGAUACGGCCCAGACUCCUACGGGAGGCAGCAGUGGGGAAUAUUGCACAAUGGGCGCAAGCCUGAUGCAGCAACGCCGCGUGCGUGAUGACGUCCUUCGGGUUGUAAACCGCUUUCGCCUGUGACGAAGCGUGAGUGACGGUAAUGGGUAAAGAAGCACCGGCUAACUACGUG